GACGAACGCUGGCGGCGUGCUUAACACAUGCAAGUCGAACGGUGAACGAGGGAGCUUGCUCCCUCCGGAUCAGUGGCGAACGGGUGAGUAACACGUGAGCAAUCUGCCCCGAACUCUGGGAUAAGCGUUGGAAACGACGUCUAAUACCGGAUACGACGCGGGAGGGCAUCCUCUCCGCGUGGAAAGAACUUCGGUUCGGGAUGAGCUCGCGGCCUAUCAGCCUGUUGGUGAGGUAACGGCUCACCAAGGCGACGACGGGUAGCCGGCCUGAGAGGGUGACCGGCCACACUGGGACUGAGACACGGCCCAGACUCCUACGGGAGGCAGCAGUGGGGAAUAUUGCACAAUGGGCGCAAGCCUGAUGCAGCAACGCCGCGUGAGGGACGACGGCCUUCGGGUUGUAAACCUCUUUUAGCAGGGAAGAAGCGAAAGUGACGGUACCUGCAGAAAAAGCACCGGCUAACUACGUG
rnacentral:rRNA from 1 species